CUAGCAGUAUCAGAGUUUGAUCCUGGCUCAGGAUGAACGCUAGCGGCAGGCCUAAUACAUGCAAGUCGAACGAAGCAGCAAUGCUUAGUGGCGCACGGGUGCGUAACACGUAUGUAACCUACCUUUUACUGGGGGAUAACUUCUCGAAAGAGAAGCUAAUACCGCAUAAUACAUUAAAGUCACCUGAUUUAAAUGUUAAAGAUUUAUUGGUAAAAGAUGGGCAUGCGUCCAAUUAGCUAGUUGGUAGUGUAACGGACUACCAAGGCUACGAUUGGUAGGGGGUCUGAGAGGAUGGUCCCCCACACUGGUACUGAGAUACGGACCAG
rnacentral:rRNA from 1 species